rnacentral:lncRNA from 1 species
UUUUCUCUUGUUUUUAUCCAACCUCUUUCCUUGGAUUCCUUUCUUCUAUCUCUUCCAUAUAAUCCUUUUUGGAAGAAUGUGUACGUUUUCGUAGUUUAAUUACCCAAAUGGUUUGCCUUUCGGUAUUUGAUGCCAAAACAAAAAAUAAUAAUAGUAAUAAAUCCAAAUAAUAGUAAUUAUUAUUAUUAUUAUUAUUAUUAUUAUUAUUAUUAUUAUUAUAGAAAGUAAUGCGUGGAUCGUGAGCCCUAAUCAAGGGGCUUUUUAUUAUAUUAUAAAAAAUAAUUCUAAAAUUAUCACAUUUUUUAAUUUCAAGUAUAACUCGUUUUUUGAAAAAAUUAGUUUAACGUAAAAGUAAACUCAUGUCUUUAAAAGGCAAAUUCAUAAAAAAUGAAUUCGAUUUUUUAAAAGACAAAUUUAAUACAAAAAUUGAACUCGUUUAUUUAAAAGAUGAGUUCAAUAGAAAAAGUAAAAUCGUCUUUUAAAAAUAUAAGUUUAAUGUAAAAAUAUAACAAAUUGUGAAAAAUAUUAUAUUUUUAUAUUUAUUUGUUUAAAUAACUAUUUUUUAAAUAAUACUUAAAAAGAAAAAAAAAUCCCCAAAUUAAGUGGUUGUAGUGUCAAAAAGGUGGCAAAGAACAUGGAAAAGAAAAGGGGUUUGAAUGACCACAAAAAAUGAUGAUAAGAGUCUAUACCAAAUUGGAUACUGCUUGAAAUAUCCAUUGUGUUCGCCCUCCCUCAAUUCAUCCCCAUUCUGAAUGAUGCCUACUUCAUCUUCUAUGUGCACACCCCUAAUGUAAUCCUCCCAACCCACCAUGUCCAUAAACCAAAAUCUCUCACCAUAGCCUUUGAUUUUCUCUUGUUUUUAUCCAACCUCUUUCCUUAGAUUCCUUUCUUCUAUCUCUUCUAUAUAAUCCUUUUUGGAAGAAUGUGUACAUUUUUGUAGUUUAAUCACCCAAAUGGUCUGUUUCGGUAUUUGAUGCCAAAACAAAAAAUAAUAAUAGUAAUAAAUCCAAACAAUAGUAAUUAUUAUUAUUAUUAUUAUUAUUAUUAUUAUAGAAAGUAAUGCAUGGAUCGUGAGCCCUAAUCAAGGGGCUUUUUAUUGUAUUAUAAAAAAUAAUUCUAAAAUUACCACAUUUUUUAAUUUCAAGUAUAACUCUUAAGAUGGAAAAAUUAGUUUAGCGUAAAAGUAAACUCAUGUCUUUAAAAGGCAAAUUCGUAAAAAAUGAAUUCGAUUUUUUAAAAGACAAAUUUAAUACAAAAAAUGAACUCGUGUAUUUAAAAGAUAAGUUCAAUAGAAAAAGUAAAUUCGUCUUUUAAAAAGAUAAGUUUAAUGUAAAAAUAUAACAAAUUGUGAAAAAUAUUAAAUUUUUAUAUUUAUUUGUUUUAAAUAACUAUUUUUUAAAUAAUACUUAAAAAGAAAAAAAAAUCCCCAAAUUAAGUGGUUGUAGUGUCAAAAAGGUGGCAAAGAACAUGGAAAAGAAAAAGGGUUUGAAUGACAACAAAAUAUGAUGAUAAGAGUCUAUACCAAAUUGGAUAUUCCUUGAAAUAUCCAUUGUGUUCACCCUCCCUCGAUUCAUCCCCAUUCUAAAUGAUGCCUACUUCAUCUUCUAUGUGCACACCCCUGAUGUAAUCCUCCCAACCCACCAUGUCCAUAAACCAAAAUCUCUCACCAUAACCUUUGAUUUUCUCUUGUUUUUAUCCAACCUCUUUCCUUAGAUUCCUUUCUUCUAUCUCUUCUAUAUAAUCCUUUUUGGAAGAAUGUGUACGUUUUCGUAGUUUAAUCACCCAAAUGGUUUGCCUUUCGGUAUUUGAUGCCAAAACAAAAAAUAAUAAUAGUAAUAAAUCCAAAUAAUAGUAAUUAUUAUUAUUAUAGAAAGUAAUGCAUGGAUUGUGAGCCCUAAUCAAGGGGCUUUUUAUUGUAUUAUAAAAAAUAAUUCUAAAAUUACCACAUUUUUUAAUUUCAAGUAUAACUCGUUUUUUGAAAAAAUUAGUUUAACGUAAAAGUAAACUCAUGUCUUUAAAAGGCAAAUUCGUAAAAAAAUGAAUUCGAUUUUUUAAAAGACAAAUUUAAUACAAAAAUUGAACUCAUUUAUUUAGAAGAUUAGUUCAAUAGAAAAAGUAAAUUCGUUUUUUAAAAAGAUAAGUUUAAUGUAAAAAUAUAACAAAUUGUGAAAAAUAUUAUAUUUUUAUAUUUAUUUGUUUAAAUAACUAUUUUUUAAAUAAUAUUUAAAAAGAAAAAAAAAAUCCCCAAAUUAAGUGGUUGUAGUGUCAAAAAGGUGGCAAAGAACAUGGAAAAGAAAAGGGGUUUGAAUGACCACAAAAUAUGAAGAUAAGAGUCUAUACCAAAUUGGAUAUUCUCUGAAAUAUACAUUGUAUUCACCCUCCCUCAAUUAAUCCUCAUUUUGAAUGAUGUCUACUUCAUCUUCUAUGUUCACACCCUUGAUGUAAUCCUCCCAACCCACCAUGUCCAUAAACCAAAAUCUCUCACCAUAGCCUUUGAUUUUCUCUUGUUUUUAUCCAACCUCUUUCCUUAGAUUCCUUUCUUCUAUCUCUUCUAUAUAUAAUCCUUUUUGGAAGAAUGUGUACGCUUUCGUAGUUUAAUCACCCAAAUGGUUUGCCUUUCGGUAUUUGACGCCAAAACAAAAAAUAAUGGCCACCAAAGUUGAAAAUCAAGCUUUGUGGGGCACUCCAGCCCUCCCCAGAUCUCCAGAUCCUGAAAGUUAAUGCUUCUCGUCACAUUCUCAAAUUUGCAAGGAAAUUAUGUCUUCCAAGCUGAUUUGGCAAUCUUCUUCAGUCAUGGGGCCCUCCUCCAAAGAUAAAA